rnacentral:rRNA from 1 species
AUGAGCGGCAGGGCCUCCGGCGGGCCCGUCCACGUGCGGUCGAUGCUGCCGUCGUCCAUCACGCGCAACCAGCCGGACACCUCGUCCACCACCUUACGGCCGCUCGGCGGCGCCGCGGUGGUCGCCUGGUGCUGCGAGGCGGCGGCGGGGGCCAUCGGUCGUCGCUGUGUUGGAGUAUGUUACACGCUCUACGGUGCGGGUCGCGCGGUCUGGCAAGUGCGCGGCGUCGUGUGUAGAGCACCGUGUGAGAGUGUGAUGGUUUGGUGGUGGCAACAGGGGAGGGGAUGUGGAGUUUUAUAG